rnacentral:rRNA from 1 species
CCUACGGGGGGCAGCAGUAGGGAAUCUUCCACAAUGGGCGAAAGCCUGAUGGAGCAACGCCGCGUGGGUGAAGAAGGUCUUCGGAUCGUAAAACCCUGUUGUUAGAGAAGAAAGUGCGUGAGAGUAACUGUUCACGUUUCGACGGUAUCUAACCAGAAAGCCACGGCUAACUACGUGCCAGCAGCCGCGGUAAUACGUAGGUGGCAAGCGUUAUCCGGAUUUAUUGGGCGUAAAGGGAACGCAGGCGGUCUUUUAAGUCUGAUGUGAAAGCCUUCGGCUUAACCGGAGUAGUGCAUUGGAAACUGGGAGACUGGAGUGCAGAAGAGGAGAGUGGAACUCCAUGUGUAGCGGUGAAAUGCGUAGAUAUAUGGAAGAACACCAGUGGCGAAAGCGGCUCUCUGGUCUGUAACUGACGCUGAGGUUCGAAAGCGUGGGUAGCAAACAGGAUUAGAUACACCUGUAGUC